UCUAAAGGAACUGCCUACGCAAGUAGUGAGGAAGGCGGGGAUGACGUCAAAUCAGCACGGCCUUACGUCCAGGGCUACACACGUGCUACAAUGGCCGAUACAGAGGGCAGCUACCUGGUGACAGGAUGCAAAUCUCCAAAGUCGGUCUCAGUUCGGAUCGGAGUCUGCAACCCGACUCCGUGAAGUUGGAUUCGCUAGUAAUCGCGCAUCAGCCAUGGCGCGGUGAAUACGUUCCCGGGCCUU
rnacentral:rRNA from 1 species